rnacentral:sRNA from 1 species
AGUGAUUGGAUAAAUAUUAGCUUUUUUUUUUUAAUUAACAGUUUUUUGUUUUGGUGGAUUUGAAUGACAUAUUUAAUUAAAACUGUCUUUUAAUUUCAUUUUAAAGCUUAAGACAUUUAUUUAUUUUUCUCUUACCCAUUGCUUUUACUGAUUAGGUAUGAAUUUCAGCCCUUUAUUUCCUUCUAAUUUCGGAGAUUUUUCUCAGAAUAUCUCUACACCCAGUGAACAGCAGCAACCCUUAACCCAGAAUUCUUCAGGAAAAACAGAAUAUAUGGCUUUUCCAAAACCUUUUGAAAGCAGUUCCUCUAUUGGAGCAGAGAAACCAAGGAAUAAAAAACUGCCUGAAGAGGAGGUGGAAAGCAGUAGGACACCAUGGUUAUAUGAACAAGAAGGUGAAGUAGAGAAACCAUUUAUCAAGACUGGAUUUGCAGUGUCUGUAGAAAAAUCUACAAAUAGUAACCGCAAAAAUCAAUUAGAUACAAACGGAAGAAGACGCCAGUUUGAUGAAGAAUCACUGGAAAGCUUUAGCAGUAUGCCUGAUCCAGUAGAUCCAACAACAGUGACUAAAACAUUCAAGACAAGAAAAGCAUCUGCACAGGCCAGCCUGGCAUCUAAAGAUAAAACUCCCAAGUCAAAAAGUA